rnacentral:misc_RNA from 1 species
GAUGAAGAACGCAGCGAAAUGCGAUACGUAAUGUGAAUUGCAAAUUCAGUGAAUCAUCGAGUCUUUGAACGCACAUUGCGCCCCCUGGUAUUCCGGGGGGCAUGUCUGUCCGAGCGUCAUUGCUGCCCUCAAGCACGGCUUGUGUGUUGGGCCCCGUCCUCCGAUCCCGGGGGACGGGCCCGAAAGGCAGCGGCGGCACCGCGUCCGGUCCUCGAGCGUAUGGGGCUUUGUCACCCGCUCUGUAGGCCCGGCCGGCGCUUGCCGAUCAACCCAAAUUUUUAUCCAGGUUGACCUCGGAUCAGGUAGGGAUACCCGCUGAACUUAAGCAUAUCAAUAAGCGGAGGA